rnacentral:snRNA from 1 species
GUACGUGAGGGCGAUCUGGCUGCGACAUCUGUCACCCCAUUGAUGGCCAGGGUUGAUUUGGCUGAUCUGGCUGGCUAGACGGGUGUCCCCUUCCUCCCUCGCCGCUCUAUGUGCGUCCCUCCCGAAGCUGAGUGCUCGGUCGAAGAGGACGACCUUCCCUGAAUAGAAGAGGACCGGUCUUCUGUCAAGGGUAUAGGAGUAGCUGCGCUCCCCUCCUAGAACCUCCAAACAUGCUCUCAAGGCCAUAUACUUUCUAAAAUAAGUAUGCUAGAUUAUAUUGUGGUCCAAGAAUAAUUGAGGAUGAAUGUGACCAGUUAGUCACUAGUGAUAAAAUCCUU